AUUGAACGCUGGCGGCAGGCCUAACACAUGCAAGUCGAGCGCGCGGCGGACGGGUGAGUAAUGUAUGGGGAUCUGCCCGAUAGAGGGGGAUAACUACUGGAAACGGUGGCUAAUACCGCAUCCUAUCGGAUGAACCCAUAUGGGAUUAGCUAGUAGGUGGGGUAAAGGCUCACCUAGGCGCCGAUCUCUAGCUGGUCUGAGAGGAUGAUCAGCCACCAUGGGACUGUGACACGGCCCGAACUCCUGCGGGAGGCAGCAGUGGGGAAUAUUGCACAAUAGGCGCAAGCCAGAUGCAGCCAUGCCGCGUGUAUGGAGAAGGCCUUCGGGUUGUAAAGUACUUUCAGCGAGGAGGCGUUACUCGCAGAAGAAGCACCGGCUAACUCCGUGCCAACCGCCGCGGUAAUUC
rnacentral:rRNA from 1 species